GGUGAGGAGGAACUUCUUUAAUCAGAGGGGGAGGGGAUGGGGAGAAAAUACACGAAAAUAUCCACUCGAAUCCACACGCACACACGCAAAAUUAUUCCGAGGCGGGAAAGGAGCUGAGAGAAAGGCGAAAAAAAA